GACGAACGCUGGCGGCGUGCUUAACACAUGCAAGUCGAACGGAAAGGCCCUGCUUUUGUGGGGUGCUCGAGUGGCGAACGGGUGAGUAACACGUGAGUAACCUGCCCUUGACUUUGGGAUAACUUCAGGAAACUGGGGCUAAUACCGGAUAUGAGCUCCUGCUGCAUGGUGGGGGUUGGAAAGUUUCGGCGGUUGGGGAUGGACUCGAUGCUUAUCAGCUUGUUGGUGGGGUAGUGGCUUACCAAGGCUUUGACGGGUAGCCGGCCUGGGAGGGUGACCGGCCACAUUGGGACUGAGAUACGGCCCAGACUCGUAUGGGAGGCAGCAGUGGAGAAUAUUGCACAAUGGGCGGAAGUCUGAUGCAGAAACGCCGCGUGCGGGAUGACGGCCUUCGGGUUGUAAACCGAUUUCGACUGUGACGAAGCGUGAGUGACGGUAAUGGGUAAAGAAGCACCGGCUAACUACGUG
rnacentral:rRNA from 1 species